UACUUCAUAGAGGCCUCGAGCAUUGAUG
rnacentral:sRNA from 1 species